ACUAGAAUAGUUUAAUUUGAAAAUAUUAAUUUUGUAAAUUAAAGUUGACCUUUCUUUUAGUA
rnacentral:tRNA from 1 species